AUGCCCAACCCGCUGGCAGUGGCGGCGGCGGCGGCGGGCGGCGGGCACGCGGCGGCCCGCUGCUCGGCCUACAAGCUGGCGCUGGCGGCGCUGCUGGCCGUGGCGCUGCUGCAGUUCGUCUACCUGUCGCUGCUGGCCGGGCUGCACGGCCGCGAGCAGCGGCGCCGCUACGGGCAGCUCUUCCCCGGCGGGGCGGCCCUGGGCGCCAGCCUGCAGCGCCGCGCCGCCGAGAGCGCCAAGGAGCAGCUGCGGGCCGUGCUGGCCGCCGGCGGCGCCCUGGACGCCAGCGGCGACUACCGCGUGUACCGGCACGUGCUGGGGGACCCCUCGCGCCGGCCGCGCGACGCCCUGCUGCUCGCCACGCACGCCAGCCUCAGCAACCUGGGCCACGUGGGCACGCUGCUGGAGCGCUGGGCCGGGCCCCUGGCCGUGGCCGUGUUCGCGGCGCGGCCGGACGAGGCGCAGCUGGCCACGGUGCUGACCUACGCGCUGGGCGCGCUCUGCACGCAGGCCGUGCGCGACCGCCUCACCAUGCACCUGGUGUGCCCGGCGCGCACCGAGGCCGCCGUGCCCGACCCCCGAGAGCCGGGCGAGUUCGCUCGCAUCAGCAGCUGCAGCGACGUGUUCACGAGCAUGGGCGCCCGAAGCCGCUCCGGCCGCAACUACGCGCUGGCCACCAACGUCUCCUACCCCAACAACCUGCUUCGAAACGUGGCCCGAGAGGGCGCCGGCCAUGCCCUCGUCGUGGACGUGGACAUGGUGCCCAGCGAUGGGCUUUGGACCGGCCUGCUGGAGCUGCUGGCCCUGGGCGAGGGCAGGGCCGGCCGGGCGCUGGUGGUGCCGGCCUUCGAGAUCCGCCAGGGAGUCCGGGUCCCCCGCACCAAGAUCGAGCUGAUGCGUUUCCUUAAGAUGGGACAUGUGCGCCCAUUCUAUGCCCAGCUGUGCCCCCGAUGCCAGGCCCCCACCAACUACUCUCGAUGGCUCACCCUGCCCCCCGGGGGACCCCUGCGCCCUGCCUACCGGGUGACCUGGCAGGACCCCUGGGAGCCCUUCUACGUGGCAGGAGGCGCGGUGCCCUCCUACGAUGAGAGGUUUCGGCAGUACGGCUUCAACCGCAUCAGCCAGGCCUGUGAGCUCCACGUGGCAGGGUACGAGUUUGAGGUGCUGAAUGAUGCUUUCCUGGUCCACAAGGGCUUCAAGAUGCCAGGGGAUUUCCACCCCCAGAAGGAGGCGGAGAAUCAACAGAACAAAAUCCUCUUCCGCCAGUUCAAACAGGAGUUAAAGAUGAAGUACCCAGACUCUCCGAGGAGAUGCUGAGCCGCUGACCCGCCUAGGGAGCAGCCUCCAAAGGCAGGGCUGGGCAGGUUUCCCCUCAAGCCUGUGGGAGGCAAGCCGGGCUAACCCAGCCCUUCACCCUGGGGUGGGCCUUUUUUAGGUGGGUGAUGAGCACUGAUGUGACCAAGCCACGAGGUCCCUGCCCUUUGUCUCCACCGCUUAUCUUGGGCCACUCUCCUCCCCUCUCUGGGCCUCAGUUUCCCCAUCAGUAAAAUGAGAGAGUUGGACCAGAUGACCAAGGUCCCUUUCACCUCCGAAUCUGAUGCUUAGGAGUCCUGGACGCCAGCCCCAACACUGCCUCGGACUUGCUGUGUGACCCUUGAGCAUAAAUCCCUUCCUCUCUCUGAGUCUCAGUUUACAUGUCUGUAAAAGGAGAGAACUGGACUAGGUGACCUGUUCCAGCUCAAAGGUUUGGCAUCUGGGACUGGCCCAGCCCUGGGAAUCAGGAUGGAUGGGGAAAGAGCCCCUUUGGUGAGAGGAAACCCCCAUCCCAAAUAGGUACAGAGCCAGGAACUUUGACUUGAAUCAUAAUAUGCCAAUAAACCAGUGUUCACGUGGA